rnacentral:tRNA from 1 species
GGUAGUGUGUCCGAGCGGCCGAAGGUGCAGAUCUCGAAAGUCUGUGUGGUUCAUAGCCACCCUGGGUUCGAAUCCCAGCACUACCGCCA